rnacentral:lncRNA from 1 species
ACCUGUGUGGCUCACACUAUGUUUCAGUGGGACAAUGCUGCUGUAGAUCUUGAUUAGGGUGUUGGUUGCACAUUUGCCAAAACUCAUCAGGAAUAUCUUAUGGAUAUAAGAUCUGUCCAUUUCACCAUAUGUAGAUUAUACCGAGCCUGGCAUUCACACAGGACUCACCAGCCUCCACGCUGACAAAAUUAACUUCCGUUUAAAACUAC